rnacentral:rRNA from 1 species
CCUACGGGAGGCUGCAGUGAGGAAUAUUGGUCAAUGGACGAGAGUCUGAACCAGCCAAGUAGCGUGAAGGAUGACGGCCCUAUGGGUUGUAAACUUCUUUUAUAAAGGAAUAAAACGAGGCACGUGUGCCUUUUUGCAUGUACGUUAUGAAUAAGGAUCGGCUAACUCCGUGCCAGCAGCCGCGGUAAUACGGAGGAUCCGAGCGUUAUCCGGAUUGAAUGGGUUGAACGGGAGCGUAGAGGGGUUGUUAAGUCAGUUGUGAAAGUUUGCGGCUCCACCGUAAAAUUGCAAUUGAUACUGGCAGUCUUGAGUACAGUUGAGGUAGGCUGAAUUCGUGGUGUAGCCGU